UUAACUCAAAUUUAUAUUGAGUUGAAACGUUUGCCUACGUUUGCCGCUAGAGGCGCUGAUCCAAUUGCAUACAAAUCUGAGUUA
rnacentral:pre_miRNA from 1 species